AGAACUUAGAUGGUGAUGGGGUGAGUGAAAGAAGGUGAUAUGCCUAAAUGAUUAGGCAUACUUAAGGAUUAAGGAUGGCAAGUGGCGUGGGCAGCAAGUUGAGCAGCAAGAAAAACCCAGUUUAAGCUCGUGGCUUUGGUGUAGGAAAACAAAUAACAUCCAUAGUCUUCCGUGAUGAUGUACCAGACUUUCUUGGAGUACGAGCAUGACCGUUGAACGGGCUGUGUGAACUUUUCUCUAAUUGUAAUAGAUAAGGAUUUGAUAAAUUUGUAUAAUAGUAAUUUAGCGGACUUCGGAGAUAUGCCGGACAUUAUAAAUUUUUAUUUGGUGUUA